GUUCACAAGCUGACAUCAAUAAAAAUGUAGACAUGAUCUAUGCAAGAAGAAAGGAGCGUGAAUAUUUUGCUACCAGUCCGGAUUAUGGGCAUCUGGCUAGUAAAAUGGGUUCGGAGUACCUUGCAAAACUUCUGUCAAAGCACUUGGAACAAUUUAUUAAGGCAAGAAUACCAAGUAUCACAUCACUUAUUAAUAAAAGCAUAGAUGAACUUGAAUCGGAACUGGACCACCUUGGAAGGCCUAUUGCUGUUGAUGCAGGCGCUCAACUGUAUACUAUUUUGGAACUUUGCCGUGCUUUUGAUAAGAUAUUUAAGGAGCAUCUAGAUGGAGGUCGACCUGGUGGUGAUCGAAUAUAUGGAGUGUUUGACAACCAACUACCUGCUGCUUUGAGAAAACUCCCUUUUGACCGAUAUCUCUCUGUGCAAAAUGUGAGGAAAGUUGUUUCAGAGGCAGAUGGUUACCAGCCUCACUUGAUAGCACCUGAGCAAGGUUAUAGACGUCUAAUUGAAGGGGCCUUGAAUUAUUUUAGAGGCCCAGCUGAAGCCUCUGUUGAUGCUGUACACUUUGUGCUGAAGGAACUAGUGAGGAAAUCUAUUGGAGAAUGUCAGGAAUUGAAGCGGUUUCCCAGUUUGCAAUCUACAAUAGCUGCAGCUUCUAAUGAAGCCUUGGAAAAAUUCCGUGAUGAAGGUAGAAAGACGGUAGUCAGAUUAGUGGACAUGGAAUCUUCUUACUUGACAGUGGAUUUCUUCAGAAAACUACCUCAGGAGAUGGAAACCCCCAAGGGGGGAAAGCCAGAAGCUGCUGCUGCUGUAGACCGGUACGGAGAGGCUCACUUUCGUCGGAUAGGUUCAAAUGUAUCAUCAUAUGUGAAUAUGGUGUCUGAUACAUUGAGGAACACACUCCCCAAAGCAGUGGUUUAUUGUCAAGUGAAGGAGGCUAAACAAUCUUUGUUGAACUACUUCUACACCCAGAUUGGGAAGAAAGAGGCACUUUCAGAAUUGUUAGAUGAAGAUCCUGCAUUGAUGGAGAGAAGAAUGCUAUGUGCCAAGAGGCUUGAACUGUACAAGAAAGCAAGAGAUGAGAUUGAUUCUGUAGCGUGGGUACGAUGAGAUAAAUUGCACUUGAGACCUUUCUUCUACGAUACACAAACGAAUUCACGACUUGGGUGAAUCGAUAUCGCUGCUUGUUCAAACAUUUUAACAGCCUAAAUUCUUUGAUUGUUGUAGAAUUUAUUGUCAUAUUAUUUGGUUUUGGAUGAAUUGUUGCUUUAUUAUGUAUUUGUGAACUGAAUUAAUAUACCACAUUCAGUUGCCCUUUUGCUUCAAAA
rnacentral:misc_RNA from 1 species